rnacentral:lncRNA from 10 species
UCUAGCAUCCAAAAAAAAAAAAAAAAAUAGGCCAGGGAGUUUGGCUCAGGCCAACUUUAUAUCUGUAAGCUCUGCCUCAAUAUCUGUGUGGAGAAGAGUGACGACAGACUGACACAGGCAGCCAAGGUGUUGGAGCAACUCACAGGCCAGACCCCUGUGUUUUCCAAAACUAGAUGCACUGUCAGAUCUUUUGUUUUCAGGAGAAAUGAAAAGAUUACUGUUGACUGCACAGUUCCAGGGGCCAAGGCAGAAGAAAUCCUGGAGAAAGGUCCAAAGACAGCGAUCUCCUGGACAUGAAAGAUGGACAAGCUGAUACCCAGCUUGAGCUCUCAAGAGAACAGAAAGGCGUCUCACACUCUCCACAAAGCUAGAAACAAACAACACUGUGGAGGAUUUUUACUGGUCAUACAUUGGGUCAUGUGCCCUUCCCUGAGCCAAUCUGCAGUCAGAAGGAUGAAGUACUCUAAUUGGCCAGUUUUGGGUCACGUGCCUGUUCCUGGCUGUCAUUGCACCAACACAUCAGGGAAUGGGGAGUUGAGGAGUGAGGAGCUUCCCCUACACAGAGAGACGGUGGGUAGCCCAUUUGUCCGCUAAAACCUUCAAGAUACAUCUAGAAUGCAUCCAUCCACAUCGUGCUAGGCUGAGCUACUAUCACCUGGUACUUGGAACCGCCUCCUCACUGGUCUACCGUCUCCCUUGCAAACAUUUUCUACAACAGCCAGUAAUCCCUAAACAUGAAUCCCAUCACAUCACUCUCUUCCUGUGCUCAGCUUCCCAUUCUCAAGGGAAGUCCUCCCAUCUUCUAAAGAAUAUCUACCUACCCAGCCCAAUUAUAUAUGAGCUUUUUAGGUUUUUUUUUUUAGAGCAAAGGAAUGACAGGUUUUGUCAAGCUGCAGGUGACUAUAAGAUACAGACAGCUGACAAUUGUGGACUCCUCAGGCGUGGUGAAAGAUUGAGCUACUAUCAUUAGGGUUGGCUGGCUAGGACCCCGGCAGGCACCUGGGGAUAGUAGUGCUGGGAAGUUCUGGGGAGUUGCACUUCUGAAUGCUGGCAUGACACUGCCUCAAGACAUCUCUCUAUCCAAAUGGAAAAAACAACCACAUCCUUUGUCAGCUAAGGAGAGUUAGCAAACUGUUUUUAUUAAAUACUGAUGUCUGGCCGGGCACGGUGGCUCACGCCUGUCAUGCUAGCACUUUGGGAGGCCGAGGCGGGUGGAUCACUUGAGGCCAGUAGUUCAAGACCAGCCUGGCCAACAUGGUGAAACCCCAUCUCUACUAAAAAUACAAAAUUAGCCGGGCGUGGUGGCGGGCGCUUGUAAUCCCAGCUACCCGGGAGACUGAGUUAGGAGAAUCGCGUGAACCCAGGAGGCGGAGGUUGCAGUGAGCCGAGAUCGCGCCACUGCACUCCAGCCUGGGUGACGGAGUGGGACUCUGUCUCUAAAUACAUAAAUAAAUAAAUAAAUAAAUAAAUAAAUAAAUAAAUAAAAAU